AGGUCAGGAUUGAGUGUUAUGCU
rnacentral:miRNA from 1 species